GUCAUCAUUGGCUAUGCACGAUUAAUCAAAUCAUCUUUCAAAGCAUUUUAAUUGACAUGCUUAUGUUGUCGUUAAAUCUUGAACACCGAUUAUUUUACCUUGCAUUUCUCUUCCUGCUGCGCUGAAGGAAACAUUGCGGAGAGAUCUUCGUUUUCGAAAUGACUUUGGACUCUAAUCUGAACCAAUUCUUCCUUAUCGUCAAUGGCUUCAUAGUUCUCUGUA